GACGAACGCUGGCGGCGUGCUUAACACAUGCAAGUCGAACGGAAAGUCCCUGCUUUUGUGGUUUGCUCGAGUGGCGAACGGGUGUGUAACACGUGUGUAACCUGCCCUUGUCUUUGGGAUAACUUCAGGAAACUCGGGCUAAUACCCGAUAUGAUCUCCUGCUGCAUGUUGUUGUUUGGUAAGUUUCGGCGGUUGGGUAUGGACUCGCGGGUUAUCAGCUUGUUUGUUUGGUAGUUGCUUACCAAGGCUUUGACGGCUAGCCUGCCUGGGAGGGUGACCGGCCACAUGGGGACUGAGAUACGGACCAGAAUGGUACGGGAGGCAGGAGGGGGGAAUAUUGCAGAAUGGGGGGAAGCGUGAUGCAGAAACGCCGGGAGCGGGAUGACGGCCUUCGGGUUGUAAACAGAUUUGGACUGUGACGAAGCGUGAGUGACGGUAAUGGGUAAAGAAGCAACGGCUAACUACGUG
rnacentral:rRNA from 1 species